CAGCAGCCGCGGGAAUACAGAGGAUGCAAGCGUUAUCCGGAAUGAUUGGGCGUAAAGCGUCUGUAGGUGGCUUUUCAAGUCCGCCGUCAAAUCCCAGGGCUCAACCCUGGACAGGCGGUGGAAACUACCAAGCUGGAGUACGGUAGGGACAGAGGGAAUUUCCGGUGGAGCGGUGAAAUGCGUUGAGAUCGGAAGGAACGCCCGUGGCGAAAGCGAGCUCCUGGACGUUUUCUGACGCUGAGACGCGAAAGCCAGGGGAGCGAACGGGAUUAGAUACCCCAGUAGUCCCUGUCUCUUAUAC
rnacentral:rRNA from 1 species